rnacentral:rRNA from 1 species
GACGUAGGGCGCGAGCGUUGUCCGGAUUUAUUGGGCGUAAAGAGCUCGUAGGCGGCUUGUCGCGUCGUUCGUGAAAACUUGGGGCUCAACCCCAAGCUUGCGGUCGAUACGGGCAGGCUGGAGUUCGGUAGGGGAGACUGGAAUUCCUGGUGUAGCGGUGAAAUGCGCAGAUAUCAGGAGGAACACCAGUGGCGAAGGCGGCUUCCUGGCCUGUAACUGACGCUGAGACGCGAAAGCGUGGGGAGCGAACCGG